UCUCCGUAGGUGAACCUGCGGAGGGAUCAUUAACGAGUUCCCCGUACCGGGUAGAAUUCCCACCCUAUGUUAUCAUUAUCUCUGUUGCUUUGGCGGGCCGCCCGGCCUCGGUCAGGCUACCGGCUCCGGCUGGUAAGCGCCCGCCAGAAGACCCCAAACUCUGAAUAUUAGUGUCGUCUGAGUACUAUAUAAUGGUUAAAACUUUCAACAACGGAUCUCUUGGUUCUG
rnacentral:misc_RNA from 1 species